rnacentral:rRNA from 1 species
CAGUAGCCACGGUAACACGAAGGGGGCUAGCGUUGCUCGGAAUCACUGGGCGUAAAGGGUGCGUAGGCGGGUCUUUAAGUCAGGGGUGAAAUCCUGGAGCUCAACUCCAGAACUGCCUUUGAUACUGAAGAUCUUGAGUUCGGGAGAGGUGAGUGGAACUGCGAGUGUAGAGGUGAAAUUCGUAGAUAUUCGCAAGAACACCAGUGGCGAAGGCGGCUCACUGGCCCGAUACUGACGCUGAGGCACGAAAGCGUAGGGAGCAAACAGGAUUAGAUACCCGUGUAGUCCCUGUCUCUUAUAC